rnacentral:rRNA from 1 species
AGUGAACGCUGGCGGUAGGCCUAACACAUGCAAGUCGAACGGCAGCACAGUAAGAGCUUGCUCUUACGGGUGGCGAGUGGCGGACGGGUGAGGAAUACAUCGGAAUCUACUUUUUCGUGGGGGAUAACGUAGGGAAACUUACGCUAAUACCGCAUACGACCUACGGGUGAAAGCAGGGGAUCUUCGGACCUUGCGCGAUUGAUUGAGCCGAUGUCGGAUUAGCUAGUUGGCGGGGUAAAGGCCCACCAAGGCGACGAUCCGUAGCUGGUCUGAGAGGAUGAUCGGCCACACUGGACCUGAGACACGGUCCAGACUCCUACGGGAGGCAGCAGGGGGGAAUAUUGGACAAUGGGCGCAAGCCUGAUCCAGCCAUACCGCGGGGGUGAAGAAGGCCUUCGGGUUGUAAAGCCCUUUUGUUGGGAAAGAAAAGCAGCAGGUUAAUACCCCGCUGUUCUGACGGUACCCAAAGAAUAAGCACCGGCUAACUUCGU